GCGGUAUCUUGACCGUGCAAAGGUAGCAUAAUCAUUAGUUUCUUAAUUGGGAACUUGUAUGAAUGGUUGGACAAAGAAAAAUCUGUCUCUUGCACUGAAAUUGAAUUUAACUUCUAAGUGAAAAGGCUUAGAUUAUCCAGAGGGACGAUAAGACCCUAUAAAGCUUUAUAAAUUUAUUAAUUUCGUUUAUUUUUUAUUAUAAUAAUGAUGAUAAGAGAAUUUAUUUGGUUGGGGCAACCGAAGUAUAAUUUAAAAUAACUGCUAUAAUUUAAUACAAUGAUUUUUGUCUUAUACAAUAAUUGAUCCUCAAAGAGAUUAAAGACCAAGUUACUUUAGGGAUAACAGCGUAAUUUAUCCUGAGAGUUCUUAUCAAAGGAAAAGUUUGCGACCUCGAUG
rnacentral:rRNA from 1 species